AAAACAUCACGAGGAAUCAUAUAUAAACCUUAAAAGGUUUCCAUUCAAUUAAUAUACAGGCAAUAGCGUCACACGAUUUGGAAAUCUUAAACGUCAAUGCUAGAUUUCCUGGAAGUGUCCAUGACAGCUUUAUAUGGAGAUAUUCUACCAUAAGGGACGAAAUGCAACGAUUAUAUGAUUCUGGAGAUCGAACAACAUGGCUUUUGGGCGAUGCAGGUUACGGUUUGGAACCUUGGCUGAUGACACCUAUCACAGAUGCACCAGAGCUACAAGAUGCAUAACGUUAUACUAACAUUAUAAAAAAAUAACAUUUUAAUAAUAAAGAAAACAAUGUGAGGAAAUAAU